CUAUUUUGGGUCCAUAAUCCCUCAUCCAGAGCCUUUGGGGCAAGACCCGAAUGGGGAUUCUGAGUGCAUGCUAUGGCAUGACGUGCCCGCAGGCGUCUAAGGCAGUGCCCCAUUUUCAAACACUUUCAUAUUUCUCCCGCAGAAUGUAUGAAACAGUCAAACCAAGUGUGGUAAGAAAGACUGUAAGUAGCUCCACAUCAAUUGCCAAAAGAAUUGUGAGAAACCUUGGGCAUUCAGAGCCUUUGAGGUUUUGGAGUCUGAGAGAAGGGAUUGCGGGCCAGCCCCACACCACUGGUGGCUCUGCAAGCUGGAGCAGUUGUUCAGUUUCUUGGGGCCUCAGUGGCCUUCGAUGUUAAUGAGGACAUGGACGCAAAUGACCCCGGGCCACACUCGGCUCCAGGGCUCUGUGUGGCUGUGGAACCCUGGAAGCCUGAGCUUAGCUGCCUUUCAACUUCCAUCUGCUGUACUAUUGAAUUGGCAUUGAGCGGUGAGAUGGCUGAAAGGUAGACAUCGAGAAGUUUCAAUAUUCAGAAUCUUUUCUUCUCAAGAUGCUGAAUGUAAUCUUAGUUGUAAAUACCCAUCACCUGCCAGUCACCGAGCACUCAUGCACCAGGGCUUUGCGUUAUGUCCUAAGAUCCUCAUAACCACCCUGCAAGGGGGCUAUCAUCAUUACCUCUGUAUUACAGAUGGAGAAACUGAGGCACAGAGAGGUAACGUGACUUAUCUCAGGCCAUAAAGCUGGGGAAAGUAGUGGAGCUGGUUUUGAACCUGAGCUGUGAGACCUCAGAGCCCUAAACUCUGGUGCCUGUGUGUUCCCCUUUCAACCCAGACUUUGGAAAUCAGUAGACACCAUAUGCUUCAAAAAACAGGGGCUAUUAAAAUGACAUCAGGAGCCAGAAAGUCUCAUGGCUGUGCUUUCUCUUGAAGUUUAUACAACAACCAGAUCACCGAUGUCGGAGCCAGGUACGUCACCAAAAUCCUGGAUGAAUGCAAAGGCCUCACGCAUCUUAAGUAAGUGGGGUAGGCACCAGGUUCCCUAGUAUAUUCUCUUGAUCACCCCCUUCUGUUGUUCAAAGAUUAAAUGUCACAGUAAAGAGCUUUCAUCCUAAAGCCUUCCACUUGUCCCAGGGCCAUGUUGGUCAAGUAAAGAUACCUCUGUGUGAUCUGUGAGGCUUGGAUUCUGGAAGGGCCUCCCGUUAUUGGUAGGGGGAAAGGUUGGCAUUUUGAUUUCAUUAACUACUAGCCCAAAGAAAGGACUAACUCUCACCCUUUCUGGUGGUCUUUUUGCCCCAAGGGAGUUUCCUGUCAGGUUGCAAGGAAGAGCUUGGGCCCUUGCCCUGCUGUAGGUGUGCCCUGCGCAGGGGGUGACAGUGCGCCAGGCUUGGAGCCUCUGGUCCUGCCCUGACAGUGGCCACAUACCUUGACCCUUGGCAGUCAAAGUGGGACCUCCCAGGUCUCCCGAGGGAAGUCAGUGAUGCUGCUGAGGUCACUUAGAGGACCCCAGGGAGGGCUCAGGUCCCUGAGCUUCUGCAGAGACUGUGGACCAUCUCCUGGAGAAGAACCCUGACUGACUGUCCUCAGGGCUUCAGUUCCCUCCCUGACAGGAGGCCCAGGCCGUGGCUCUUGUCGAUCCCAGAAGAAAGUGUACGGUUCCCAAGAUGGGGCUGGAAGGGGCUCUGUGCUGGGGAGGAGGGUGACCCACAUUGGAGCCCCUGCAUAGCUGGAGGCUGACUGUGUGUGACUCUCUCUGCAGACUGGGAAAAAACAAAAUAACAAGUGAAGGAGGGAAGUAUCUCGCCCUGGCUGUGAAGAACAGCAAAUCAAUCUCUGAGGUUGGGCUUAUCCAGAAUCAGAUCACAGCUAAGGGGACUGCCCAGCUGGCAGAUGCGUUACAGAGCAACACUGGCAUAACAGAGAUUUGCCUAAAUGGAAACCUGAUAAAACCAGAGGAGGCCAAAGUCUAUGAAGAUGAGAAGCGGAUUAUCUGUUUCUGAGAGGAUGCUUUCCUGUGCAUGGGGUUUUUGCCCUGGAGCCUCAGCAGCAAAUGCCACUCUGGGCAGUCUUUUGUGUCAGUGUCUUAAAGGGGCCUGCGCAGGCGGGACUAUCAGGAGUCCACUGCCUCCAUGAUGCAAGCCAGCUUCCUGUGCAGAAGGUCUGGUCGGCAAACUCCCUAAGUACCCGCUACAAUUCUGCAGAAAAAGAAUGUGUCUUGUGAGCUGUUGUAGUUACAGUAAAUACACUGUGAAGAGACUUUAUUGCCUAUUAUAAUUAUUUUUAUCUGAAGCUAAAGGAAUAAAGCUGUGAGCAAACAGAGGAGGCCAGCCUCAGCUCAUUCCAACACCUGCCAUAGGGACCAACGGGAGCGAGUUGGUCACCGCUGUUUUCAUUGAAGAGUUGAGGAUGUGGCACAAAGUUGGUGCCAAGCUUCUUGAAUAAAACGUGUUUGAUGGAUUAGUAUUAUACCUGAAAUAUUUUCUUCUUUCUCAGCACUUUCCCAUGUAUUGAUACUGGUCCCACUUCACAGCUGGAGACACUGGAGUAUGUGCAAUGUGGGAUUUGACUCCUCCAAGGUUUUGUGGAAAGUUAAUGUCAAGGAAAGGAUGCACCACGGGCUUUUAAUUUUAAUCCUGGAGUCUCACUGUCGGCUGGCAAAGAUAGAGAAUGCCCUCAGCUCUUAGCUGGUCUAAGAAUGACGAUGCCUUCAAAAUGCUGCUUCCACUCAGGGCUUCUCCUCUGCUAGGCUACCCUCCUCUAGAAGGCUGAGUACCAUGGGCUACAGUGUCUGGCCUCGGGAAGAAGUGAUUCUGUCCCUCCAAAGAAAUAGGGCAUGGCUUGCCUUUGUGGCCCUGGCAUCCAAAUGGCUGCUUUUGUCUCCCUUACCUCGUGAAGAGGGGAAGUCUCUUCCUGCCUCCCAAGCAGCUGAAGGGUGACUAAACUGGCGCCAAGACUCAGGGGAUCGGCUGGGAACUGGGCCAGCAGAGCAUGUUGGACACCCCCCACCAUGGUGGGCUUGUGGUGGCUGCUCCAUGAGGGUGGGGGUGAUAUUACUAGAUCACUUGUCCUCUUGCCAGCUCAUUUGUUAAUAAAAUACUGAAAAC
rnacentral:sRNA from 1 species